GAUGAACGCUGGCGGCGUGCCUAAUACAAGCAAGUCGAGCGAAUGGAUUAAGAGCUUGCUCUUAUGAAGUUAGCGGCGGACGGGUGAGUAACACGUGAGUAACCUGCCCAUAAGACUGGGAUAACUCCGGGAAACCGGGGCUAAUACCGGAUAACAUUUUGAACCGCAUGGUUCGAAAUUGAAAGGCGGCUUCGGCUGUUACUUAUGGAUGGACCCGCGUCGCAUUAGCUAGUUGGUGAGGUAACGGCUCACCAAGGCAACGAUGCGUAGCCGACCUGAGAGGGUGAUCGGCCACACUGGGACUGAGACACGGCCCAGACUCCUACGGGAGGCAGCAGUAGGGAAUCUUCCGCAAUGGACGAAAGUCCGACGGAGCAACGCCGCGUGAGUGAUGAAGGCUUUCGGGUCGUAAAACUCUGUUGUUAGGGAAGAACAAGUGCUAGUUGAAUAAGCUGGCACCUUGACGGUACCUAACCAGAAAGCCACGGCUAACUACGUGCCAGCAGCCCCGUAA
rnacentral:rRNA from 1 species